rnacentral:lncRNA from 1 species
UUUCACAAGACAGUGCCGAAAGUGAAGGAAGCUCCUGUCCCUCCUAAAGCUGAAGCCAAACCGAAGGCUUUCAAGGCCAAGAAGGCAGUGUUGAAAGGUGUCCACAGCCACCAAAAAAGAAGAUCCGCAUGUCACCCACCUUCCAGCAGCCCAAGACACUGAGACUCUGGAGGCAGCCCAGAUAUCCUCGGAAGAGCUCCCCCAGGAGAAACAAGCUUGACUACUAUACCAUCAUCAAGUUUCUGCUGACCACUGAGUCUGCCAUGAAGAAGAUAGAAGACAACAACAUGCUUGUGUUCACUGAGGAAGUUAAAGCCAACAAGCACCAGAUCAAACAGGCUGUGAAGGAGCUCUGUGACAUUGAUGUGGCCAAGGUGUCAACACCCUAAUUCGGCCUGAUGGAGAAAAGAAGGCAUAUGUUCGACUGGCUCCUGAUUACAAUGCUUUGAAUCUUGCCAACAAAAUUGGGAUCAUCUAA